UGGUCACUUGGUCAUGUGGGCGUUGCCUUUGUGUACACCUUGCGUACACUCAAUGUCCGUGCAGAUUUGCCAUCUUCUGUAAAGCGUAAAUAAUGCAGUUGGCUCGUUACAAUCCUAAGGAAUCAACAAGAAGACACAUAAGUUGGAAAAUUUAUAAAAUCAAAUUUUCAAGGGACAGAAAACAUAGAACGCCUCACAAAAAUGAUGAAUGACGUGUUUGACAUACUAAAUCUGCGCUUUUGUAAAGAGGGAAUUGUCCAUGCGACUUGGAAAAAUAAAAAAGGCAAAUUGAAUCAAAUGCUGCAAGCCCUCUCAGAAACUGAGCGUGUUUUUGAAGAACAUGGAAAGAAUGUUAAAAUGUUCGUUUCCGAGACUAGUCUUCAAGCCUGGCGUCUAACUAUAAAUAGUGCAAUAAAUCUGAUCGAGGAGCAAUUCAAAGCAGGAAUUAAAGUUGUACUAACAGGAAAAUUUAAUCAAGAUCCUCUAGAGAGGCUGUUUGGAAUCGUUCGUUCGGUAGAUAGCCACCCAACGGUGACAUCUUUUU